ensembl:lncRNA
UGACAACAGGCACAAUUUAUAUGUACAUCAGGGGGAAGCUGCUGUUUGCCGACCACGUCUCAAACUGCUCCCGCGGCUCCAUCAGGAGCCUCCACCGGCAGAUCUCCACCAGCAGAAGGGACUUCAGGCUGGGCUUGAGUCUCCCUGCAGACCACAAGAUCAGAAUCCAGCUUACGCGUGGAGGUCUGUGGCCGGUCUCCUCGUUCACCCGGCGGUCUCUCCUUUCACAGUGCUAAGCUGAAGGGCUCCGUGGCCGCAGACUCGCUGUCCACUCUCGAGUCCUGGCCGAUAUCGACCUCCCUCGACCGCAGCGAAACGCGUCUGAGGCACACGGCGACUCAAGAUCCGAUCUUCUGAGAAGCCAUCAAGAUCAGAGGACACCCCAACAGGACGGGAGAACGAUAAAACACAGUCCUGUUGCCCAUCCUACUCCUCUUGUCAGACACUAAACAUCUCCAGCCAUGUCUACUGUACCACAUGACCUAAUAAUAAACUGGUGUGCUACAUCUGUCAGUCAGGGCAGAGUGUGUGACUUUGUGUUGAGGAUGUGGAAUUGUGAGCCAUCAAAUCAUUGGUUAUUUCCUGUGCAAUAAAAGGAAACUAUGUUGAAAUCGCGAUUAUAACAUCACGAACUAUCACGCAAUUGCUCAACCAGGUGAUGUCACACACUGAUGUAGGUCUAGCUGGAAAAUGUAUAUUAAGACCAGGUCAUGCAUUAUGCAUUAAGUUUGAUAUCUUUGCAAUCACGACUUUGUUCUAUGACUUCUUAGAUUGUCUAUUUUAUUAUAGCCUUUUUUUGAUGCAAUACAAUUUCAAUAAAAAAACAUAACUUCUUACAUUGGACGUCAUUAUGUUGAACCCUAGAGCCCUCUAGUGGUAUCUUGUUGGACUACAGGACGAAACCUUAACGUGAUUGGCUCUGGGAUACUGCCGUCAAGAGAAGGGGAGUAGGGUGCUUGGGAUUACAUGUCAACUAGUCAUCUCGCUCUACUAGAUCCCAAAGUGCUGCGCUAACUAUUAACGCUGGAGGAAAGAUUGCAAGUGGAAGUUAUAGCUACAAAUGUGUCAGGAUCUGGAGAAUGUAUCGUUCCCGUUGAACUGAUUUCCAACCUGGACGUUCAUUGAGGACUUAUGUAUCCGAAGCAGCCAUACACAG